CCUGCUCCAUCCCGAGUCUCAUGUCCCUGCCUGCUCCAUCCUGAGUCUCAUUUUCCCUGCAUGCUCUUUAGGCCAUUGGUGUCUGAGAUCACUUCACUGGUUUUCCAUUUGGUUUCUCACCUGGGAAAUACAAAAAUAGCCCCUCCUGAAGAUAAAAUUGUUCAGAAACAGCAAUAAUUAUGACUCAUUAGCUACUUACUCAAAAAAGUCUGCCUUGAUGGUGGACUGAAAUGAGGCUUUUUAACCCACAAGCAACCUUUUUAUUUUUUUGAGACUGUCUUGCUCUGUCUGUCACCCAGGUUGGAGUACAGUGGCAUGAUCUUGGCUCACUGCAGCCUCGACUUCCUGGGCUCAAGUGAUCCUCCUAUCUCAGCCUCCUGUGUCACUAACCACAGGCACAUACCACCAUGCCUGGCUAUUUUUGGUUGAGCUGGGCUCUCACUUUGUUGCCCAGGCUGGUCUUGAACUCCUCAGCUCAAGCAAUCCUUCCCACUCAGCCUCCUGUGGUGUUGGGAAUACAGGCGUGCACCACUGCACCUGCUCCAGCCACUUGUAUAAAACCACUGACCUGUGUGUGGAGGACAGGCCAGGUGUGUGCUCACUGCACUGCGAAGAUACGUCAUCAUAUGACUUUCCCGUUUUCCAUUUCUCUUUUUCUGCUUUUCUCAAAAACCAAUAGAAGACUGGGUGCGGUGGCUCACACCUGUAAUCCCAGCACUUUGGGAGGCUGCAGCUGGCGGAUCACAAGGUCAGGAGUUUGAGACCAGCCUGGCCAACAUGAUGAAACCCCGUCUCCACUAAAAAUACAAAAAUUAGCUGGGUGUGAUGGUGGGUGCCUGUAAUCCCAGCUACUCAGGAGACUGAGGCAGGAGAAUUGUUUGAACGCUGGAGGUGGAGGUUGCGGUGAGCCGAGAUCGUGCCAUUGCACUCCACCCUGGGCAACGGCAAGACUCUUAUCUCAAAAACACUAUUGGAAAAUGCCCUGGAGGUGGCAGAGGGUUGUAGAUAUGUGAGGCCAACCCCCAGGGUGGCCCUGUCCGCCUCCCCGUUGAGAAUGGCUGCCAGGCUUCCCACUAGCCUCUGAAGAUGACGGUCUGGUGUGAGGAGGUGCAGGUGACUGGUUCUGAGCACCUUGGAAUUUCUGGCCGCACAUCCUCUGGUGCCCUCCCUCCCACCCGACAAGGAGCUUCCAGCCUGUUUUGAUUUCCUGUUUGUGGACCAGAAAUACAUUUUUCCAAACGAUGAGCAAAUAGGGUGAUUUCCUUUGUAAUGCUGCUCUGGGGCCUCCUCCUCAUCCUGGCAGAAGCAGCCUGGAUACCACACGGCGGCCGACACUGUGCCCUUGCUCAGGUGUGCCGUCCCCUCCCUCUCCCUCAGUCUCCUCUCCACACCCAAGUCGGUUUCCAGCCACUGGUCUUCACGGCAUUCCCAGUACAGCCAGGCACCAAGAGGCAAUACCCAAGGCCUGGCUUGGCCAUGUUAACGAUUGUAUAGACAUACAUUUUUAAAUAACUUUUAUGUAAUACUUUUCUAGAAUAGUAAGUUCUUGUUAACUGUCACAGAUGUGCUUCUAGAAACGUACCGGGUGUUACUUCCACUGAGUGUGUCCGUGGUCAUGGUCUGUGCCUUUGUAAACAGAACACUUGAACCACCUCCUGAAUUGGGUCAUCUGCUUCCUGAAAUUGACACUUAAGAGAUGUGCAUCUCUCUAACUUUCAAGGAAACUUCCCCACUAAAUGGCAUGAAAAGGUUUAAAUAAAAUCCGAGAGUCCCAAUUCCCUCUGUAACAGUGUUACAAUAAUCUGUCUGCCUGGAAAGAUGAAAACACUCUUGCACAACCCAAAAUGUGUCUUUAAUUUGUGAAAAAUUAACAUGGUGAGUCAAACAGUCAUUUUAAAGAGCUGAGCAAAGAAUAUCAUCAGCCAAAUAGAGCAUUGCUUUGUAGGGUGCCUUUAAACUCCUGGCCACAAAACCAGUGAGCUCUGCUUGCUGCUGCCACGCUCCUGGAUGAUCACUUAGAUGGGUCAGUGGGAAUAACAGGCGAACAAGACAGUUCUUUACAUCUGUCCAAAUGAUGUCCUCCUAAGGCCUGGAAGUAUUUCAUUGCUGGAAGAAGGAAACAAGCAUGUCAUUCCAGAUAGAAACGGACUUCUCUCUUUUGCCCUUGACUGAUAGAAACGGACUUCUCUCUUGUCCUCAACCGAUAGAAACGGCUCUCUCUCUCUUUCUCUCUCUCUCCCCCCUUUGACCAACACGGUACUAAGCGGUUUCUUCUUUCCCAACGUAUGUGUGUGCCCUGCUGGGGGCCUUACUUGAUAGACUGAGAGUGUCCUAGCUCCCCUAAUGAAUCUGACUAGUUCUCUGUCCUGGCUGAGGAUACAGGAGUGGGACAUCCACCCUCAGAGCACAGAAACCUUCAGCUUCGCUGUCUCAAGUAUUUCUUCCAGUUUCCCUGUGGGCCUCUGAUGUUUGAGUGUGAUGGCUGCUAGAUCCUUAAAGAAAACUCAGUUGGAAACUUCCAACUCGCAGUCCUUUUUUGUUGUUUUCCAUUUCAUUUCACUUACAGCUGAAAGCGGCAUUCAGCUGACUUGCUCAUUUAAACUGUUCACAGAGUCUGAACUGCCAACGUGGUAUUGGAGGCUCCAUCUUGUAAGAGGGCCACAGACUUUCCCACAUGGGAAAACUUGAAAAUUACAUCAACAAUCGAUGUCAGAGCCAAAUUACAUUUCCUUUAUACCAAACAAAACUAUGAGAACUAAAAGUACAUUGUACAAAAUGUUUCUAGUGUUUUGUAUGUGACCUAUUUCAGUAUUUAUAUUACUAGAUCAGUGCUUUCGAUUCUGUUAAAUAAUGUAGCCAGUUGCUGUUAAUUCUGCCACCACGAUAAGCUGAUACUGUGUAACUAAUCCUGUGGACGCCUCCUGCUUAUUUUUGUCUAAACUAAGCAGCCAUGGUAGCAGCUAUGAUUCUUGCUCAGCAAAGUAAAAUAAAUGUUAAAUAUGGACUG